CCUACGGGAGGCUGCAGUGAGGAAUAUUGGGCAAUGGUCGGGAGACUGAACCAGCCAAGCCGCGUGAGGGAUGAAGGUACAGAGUAUCGUAAACCUCUUUUGUCAGGGAACAAAGGCGGGGACGUGUCCCCGGAUGAGUGUACCUGAAGAAAAAGCAUCGGCUACCUCCGUGCCAGCAGCCGCGGUAAUACGGAGGAUGCGAGGGUUAUCCGGAGUUAUACGGGUUAAAGGGUGGGCGGGCGGUCUGUAAAGUCAGCGGGAAAAGCCCGGGACACACCCGCGGCCCGCCGUUGAAACUGGCAGGCGCGAGUUGGAGAGAAGUAUGCGGAAUGCGCGGUGUAGCGGUGAAAUGCAUAGAUAUCGCGCAGAACUCCGAUUGCGAAGGCAGCAUGCCGGCUCCACACUGACGCUGAGGCACGAAAGCGUGGGUAUCGAACAGGAUUAGAUACCCGUGUAGUC
rnacentral:rRNA from 1 species